rnacentral:rRNA from 1 species
UGGGGAAUAUUGCACAAUGGGCGCAAGCCUGAUGCAGCCAUGCCGCGUGUGUGAAGAAGGCCUUCGGGUUGUAAAGCACUUUCAGCGGGGAGGAAGGCGAUAAGGUUAAUAACCUCAUCGAUUGACGUUACCCGCAGAAGAAGCACCGGCUAACUCCGUGCCAGCAGCCGCGGUAAUACGGAGGGUGCAAGCGUUAAUCGGAAUUACUGGGCGUAAAGCGCACGCAGGCGGUCUGUCAAGUCGGAUGUGAAAUCCCCGGGCUCAACCUGGGAACUGCAUUCGAAACUGGCAGGCUAGAGUCUUGUAGAGGGGGGUAGAAUUCCAGGUGUAUCGGUGAAAUGCGUAGAGAUCUGGAGGAAUACCGGUGGCGAAGGCGGCCCCCUGGACAAAGACUGACGCUCAGGUGCGAAAGCGUGGGGAGCAAACAGG